rnacentral:rRNA from 1 species
UACGGGGGGGGCAAGCGUUGUUCGGAAUUACUGGGCGUAAAGGGUUCGUAGGUGGCUUGCUAAGUCAGACGUGAAAUCCCUCAGCUUAACUGGGGAACUGCGUCUGAGACUGGCAAGCUCGAGUGCAGGAGAGGAACGCAGAAUUCCAGGUGUAGCGGUGAAAUGCGUAGAUAUCUGGAGGAAUACCGGUGGCGAAGGCGGCGUUCUGGACUGCAACUGACACUGAGUGAACGAAAGCCAGGGGAGCAAACAGG